GCUCCAGUGGCGCAAUCGGUUAGCGCGCGGUACUUAUAGAGCAGUGCGGCCGUAGCGAUGCCGAGGUUGUGAGUUCGAUCCUCACCUGGAGCA
rnacentral:tRNA from 1 species